rnacentral:misc_RNA from 1 species
GGUGACCUCUAUGGUAGUCAUGCCAAAAAAUAUGGUGGGUGGCAUUCGAAGAAGCUUGGAGACAUCACAAUGCAGCCUUUCAAGUUCUUCUGGUUAUUACUCGUAUAAAGAAACAAGAUCAAAACUUACGGAGAGAAAUAAAAUCACAGAGUGUGAAGCAAACUAUGAUUCUUCAUCUGAAGAGUCUGAUGAGGCAGAGAGCAAAUUUGUGGGAGAAGAGUCUUGUUGCUCAUCUAUGAAUCAGCUUGAAGAUGGUAAUGCCACAGAUACAGAUGCAGACAAUUCUUUCGGUGAAUAUUCAGCUGUUA